UCUCAAGGAUUAAGCCAUGCAAGUGUAAGCGCAAGCGAGAUUGUACAGUGAAACUGCGAAUGGCUCAUUAAAUCAGUCAUAAUUUGCAUGAUGGAAGCGUCUUCGACGGUAUACGGAUAACCGUACAAAAGGUAGAGCUAAUACGUGCCAAGAAAGCUUCGCUUGUGCGGGGCGGUAUUUAUUAGAUGGAAAACGCGGCGGCGCUGUUUGCAGCGCGGUUGGUGAGUCAUGAUAACUAUACGAAUUGCGGGCCUUUGGGCGGCGAUGGUUCAUUGCAAUGUCUGCCCUAUCACUUGUCGAUGGUAAGAUCGGGGCUUACCAUGAGGAUGACGGGUAACGGCGAAUGAGGGUUUUAUUCCGGAGAGGGGGCCUGAGAGACGGCCACCACUUCCAAGGAAGGCAGCAGGCGCGCAAAUUACCCAAUCGCGACACGCGGAGGUAGUGACGAAGAAUAACGAUGGACUUGCCUUUGAGCAAGACCAAUUGGAAUGAGAACAAUGUAGAAGCCUUAUCGAGGAACGAUUGGAGGGCAAGUCUGGUGCCAGCAGCCGCGGUAAUUCCAGCUCCAAUAGUGUAUACUAACGUUGUUGCGGUUAAAAAGCUCGUAGUUGGGUUUUUGGUUGCGUGCGGGCGGGCGGCAUUGACUGCUUGUGUUACGCGGGGCCUUUUGGGGACGUUUUGUGACGUGUCCGAUUACUUUGAACAAAUUAGAGUGCUCAAAGCAGGCGUUUGCCUUGAAUAGAUUAGCAUGGAAUAAGAGAUAUGAUUUGCGUGGUGCUUUGUUGUGUCGGCGGUCGCGCGAGUAAUGAUGGACAGGGACGGACGGGGGCUUGAGAAUUGCGUCGCCAGAGGUGAAAUUCUUAGACUGGCGCAAGUCUGGCUGAUGCGAAAGCGAUUGCCAAGCACGUUUUCAUUGAUCAAGAACGAAAGUUGGGGGAUCGAAGACGAUUAGAUACCGUCGUAGUCUCAACCAUAAACGAUGCCAACCAGGGAUUGGGGGGGGCAGUAGACUUUCUCACGACUUCCUCAGCACCUUGCGAGAAAUCAGAGUGUUUGGGUUCCGGGGGAAGUAUGGUCGCAAGGCUGAAACUUAAAGGAAUUGACGGAAGGGCACCACCAGGAGUGGAGCCUGCGGCUUAAUUUGACUCAACACGGGAAAACUUACCAGGCCCAGACGUAGCGAGGAUUGACAGAUUGAAAGCUCUUUCUUGAUUUUAUGGAUGGUGGUGCAUGGCCGUUCUUAGUUGGUGGAGUGAUUUGUCUGCUUAAUUGCGAUAACGAACGAGACCUUGAGGGCUUGGUGGGGCUGUGGCGGGGCAACCCGGCGCGCCCGGACUAGUCCGACUGCUGCGUGUUGUAACCAGAGGAAGUUUGAGGCUAUAACAGGUCUGUGAUGCCCUUAGAUGUCUGGGCUGCACGCGCGCUACAAUGGGCAAGACAGCGAGUGGCGAGGCGCGGCGAGUCCGUGCUGUCCUGCUCCGGGAGGGGUGGGUAAUCUUGCAAACUUGUCCGUGAUGGGGAUAGAUGUUUGUAAUUUUGGAUCUUGAACGAGGAAUUCCUAGUAAACGCGUGUCAACAACGCGCAUUGAUUACGUCCCUGCCCUUUGUACACACCGCCCGUCGCUCCUACCGAUUGGGUGUUGAGGUGAGGUUUUUGGAGCUUGUUGGUUUCCUGGGCGACUGGGGGGCUGGGGGCGAAGUUACCCAAAUCUUGACAUCUAGAGGAAGGAGAAGUCGUAACAAGGUAUUCGUAGGUGAACCUGCAGA
rnacentral:rRNA from 1 species